UCCCUUAGUAACGGCGAGUGAACAGGGAAAAGCCCAUCGCUGAAUCCCAUAAUCAUUGAUUAUCGGGAACUGUAGCGUAUAGGUGUAACUAUUCGGUGAUUUUUGCUUACCCAAAGUUCCCUUGAGUGGGGCUAUAGUCCAUAGAGGGUGCUAGGCCUGUACGGGUAGCAAAAUUAUCGAUAUCGGUUGCUCCUUGGAGUCGAGUUGCCUGGGAACGCAGCUCAAAGUAUGUGGUAAACCUCAUCUAAGGCUAAAUAUGACUACGAGACCGAUAGCGAACAAGUACCGUGAGGGAAAGUUGCAAAGAACUUUGAAGAGAGAGUUCAAGAGGGCGUGAAACCGCUGAGAAGGAAGCGGAUAGAGUUGACGAAACACAGUGGCAUUCAUCCGAUCAGUGGUACAACCAAUAUAUCACUUGUACUGUCUUGUGCUUGAGAUAGCAAUGAUAUGUUUGGUUGGGCGAUUCACCACUUGGUUGGUGCUUUUGCCAUUGGUAUGCGCUAAGAGGUUCGCUAUGAUGCGUCAAAAUCAAUUUAAAGAGGACUAAACUUGACGUUUACGUUUAGAAACCUUUAAUGAUCGAGGCGUAUUCGUGGUGAAUCGCUGUUUCGCGGUUACAUCGUUGGCUAGUUUGUGCAGCCGGUUGUUAUGUGCGUGCUAUGGUUGCAUUGGUUGUUGGGCGGUCGCAUGCGACUUGUCUACAGCUGAGUGUAACCCAUUGACAGCUAGGUUGCAUUAACGAUGUAUCUUAGUGUAAAAGUCGACCACCUAUCCGACCCGUCUUGAAACACGGACCAAGGAGUUUAGCAUAUACGCAAGUCAUUAGGUGGUAAACCUCAAGGCGUAAUGAAAGUAAAGAUUGCUUUACGUGUGCAAUUGAUAUGGGAUCUAUAUAGUCCAACAAACUAUAUAGCGCACCAUAGCCCCGUCCUUCGAUUGCUUGCAAUAGGGCGGAGGUAGAGCGUAUAUGCUGAGACCCGAAAGAUGGUGAACUAUG
rnacentral:rRNA from 1 species